GUAGGGGCCCGGGACUGACGUAUACAUGUAUCAUUACAAAUACAUGUAACAUACCAGGGGCGAAACAGGAUAUUGGAGAUCAUUUGAAAGGUAUGUAUUUUGUGGGCACAGAAUAAAUAUUGCCGAGCUUGGCGAACCGAAAGUUUUAUUCAGUGAACUGUGUUUUGCUAAGAAUAAUAUAAAUCAUAAGAAAUAUGAUAUUUCUUUUCUACUUUGGUGAUCAAAUUGGGGUGUAUUCGCUCUUAGCCAUAUCCUGGGUCCGCUUCUGCAUUCAUAACCGUUUACACGACGAUGACCUUCCAAUGACGUAACUGACCCUUUUAAACUUUAUUACAACACGGUGCUCAAAUCUUUCAUUAACAAAAUUUUCACAAUAGAGAGAUAAAAUUUCAAAUCACGUAUACUAUUUAUAACAUUAGUAAUAACCAUUCCUAAAAAUAGUACUUGCCUAAUACGGGUGUAUUGUCAAAUUUACUUAUGACGUAAAACCCAUACAUACUGUAUAUCAUAUGAUAUGACAAUAUUUUACAAUGUACAAAUCUUUAAACAUGAAUGGUAUGUGGGUCAUAUAGUAAAGGAGUUACGUACUGGUUUUACUCGAGUGUAAAAUCUUUUUAAAUGUCUGCGUAAUCGGCCUACAAACAACCUGGAUAAUAUUGUUAACUUAGAUAUAUCUUAAAUAUUUUUCAGUUUAUAAAGUAGGCGUAUAAAAUUUCGUGACCAUAAAUGUCUAUUCAUUGUCCGCUUUAGGAAGUACGAAAUGACUACACCUAACGUGUCCACUAUAGU
rnacentral:lncRNA from 1 species